rnacentral:rRNA from 1 species
GAUGAACGCUAGCGGCAGGCCUAACACAUGCAAGUCGAGGGAGGAGCUUUCGGGCUUCGACCGGCGUACGGGUGCGUAACGCGUAUACAAUCUGCCUUUCACAUAGGGAUAGCCCGAAGAAAUUUGGAUUAAUACCUAAUAGUAUAUAGAUGUGGCAUCACAUUUAUAUUAAAGCUGAGGCGGUGAAAGAUGAGUAUGCGUUCUAUUAGCUAGUUGGAGAAGUAACGGCUCCCCAAGGCUACGAUAGAUAGGGGUUCUGAGAGGGAUAUCCCCCACACUGGUACUGAGAUACGGACCAGACUCCUACGGGAGGCAGCAGUGAGGAAUAUUGGACAAUGGUCGGAAGACUGAUCCAGCCAUGCCGCGUGCAGGAAGACGGCCUUAUGGGUUGUAAACUGCUUUUGCAGGGGAAGAAUAAGGACUACGAGUAGUUUGAUGACGGUACUCUGCGAAUAAGCA